rnacentral:rRNA from 1 species
AUGUACAUGCCUACAACAUUAAUGCAGUGGAUCCUAUCAAAACUUCGUAGUUAAGCAUGCUUGGCUAGAGUAGUAUUGGAAUGGGUGACCUCUAGGGAAAUCUGUGUGUUUUACAUG